GGGUGACCAAGAGAAGGGUGACAAAAGGGGUGACAGAGAAGGUGAGGAAGAGGGUGACCUAAAGGGUGACAAAGAGAAGGGUGACAAAAGGGGUGAUGGGAGGGGUGACAGAGAAGGUGACAAAGAGAGUGACCUAAAGGGUGACAAAGAGAAGGGUGACAAAGGGGGUGAUGGGAGGGGUGACAGGAAGGGUGACAUAGAAGGUGACAAAGGGGAUGGGGGAGAGGGUGACAAAGAGAAGGGUGACAAAAGGGGUGACAGAGAAGGUGAGGAAGAGGGUGACCUAAAGGGUGACAAAGAGAAGGGUGACAAAGGGGGUGACGGGAAGGGUGACAAAGAGGGUGACCUAAAGGGUGACAAAGAGAAGGGUGACGAAAGGGGUGAUGGGAGGGGUGACAGAGAAGGUGACAAUGAGAAGGGUGACAAAGAGGGUGACCUAAAGGGUGACAAAGAGACGGGUGACAAAAGGGCUGAGACAGGGGGUGACACAAAGGGUGACAUAGAAGGUGACAAAGAGAAGGGUGACAAAGGGGAUGGGGGAGAGGGUGACAAAGAGAAGGGUGACAAAAGGGCUGAGACAGGGGGUGACACAAAGGGUGACAUAGAGAAGGGUGACAUAGAGGGUGACCUAAAGGGUGACAAAGGGAGUGGGAGAGAGGGUGACAAAAGGGCUGACAGGAAGGGUGACGUGGAGGGUGACAAAGGGAAGGGUGACAAAAGGGGUGACGGGAAGGGUGACCAAGAAGGUGACAAA
rnacentral:lncRNA from 1 species